UGAAGCAUACUCCACAGCUCAUGGCAACACUGGAACCUUAACCCACUGAGUGAAGCCAGGGAUUGAACUUGCAUCCUCAUGGAUGUCAGUCGGAUUCAUUUCUGCUGAGCCACGACAAGAACUCCAUACUGUGACUCCUUGACUUCUUGGGUCACAGGCCAUAUUGGAGUAGGACAUCCACAUGUCCUGACCUCAUUUACCUUGAAUUACCUGCUUAAAAGCCACAUCUCCAAAUAUAGUCACUCUGGGGGUUAAGGCUUCAGCACAUGCAUUUUGAAGGGGUUCCUGGGAGCUUUUCUGGUGCUGGCAUUGACUGGUUCCACCAGUCAGUGAGGAAGGGAUCCUACCUACCUCAGCACCCGGACCAACUUCAUUGAAGAGACAGAUCAAGUGGCGAUGGAGUCUGGCUUCCUCAUGCACAGACAAGUAUGGAGCUUAUUUUGGAACUGAUUCCCUUCCAACAUAGAUUAUCACAGAAUAUUGGGUAGAGUUCUCUGUGCUGUCUUUUCCAGCAGCAGGAAAGUUGGGCUCACCCACCUGAAAAGCUAAAGCUGACCCAGAAGUUAUGCUUAAAGAAGAAAAAGAAGGAAGAGCUGCUUUUGAUGUAACUUGAAGAGUAUAAAGGAUCGAAUGAUAAAAGCCACUGCCCUGAACUUUUCCAAAGUGUAAUAAAUCUCUCUGCAUAAGAUUCUGCAGUUGUUGCCGAGAUCCCGAAUUGGGAGCCAUGUGGAAAGAGGACUGGAUUGGAAAUCAGAGUCCUUCCUGGGUUUCUUCCAGAUGACCCCACCCAUCAGCCGUCUGGUCUCUGAGAAAUAGAACAGAGAUUCCACAUGUUUCCUGGAAUUGACCAAAAAAAAAAAAAAAAAAAAAAGGAAAGAAAAAAAAAUUCAGUUAAAUGCCCUCAAUGCCCAUCAUAAGAAGGGAUCACCCUUAAAGAAUAAUUGAUUUGCAGUUCUGGUGUGGUAGGGACAUCUUGUCUCUUCUCUACUUGGCAUGAGGUGGAAUACUGGAAGGCUGAAGAGUGGAAUCGUCUGAAGUGCACUCACUCAUACCUCUGGUGGUUGACUGUUGGCUGGGAUGAACAUGGAGCUGUGUCUGGGACACCUAUAUGUGGCCAUUUCAUGAAGCUGCCCCACAAUAUGGUGGUUGGGUUCCAAAGCCUCCCAGCACUCCAUGAGAGAAGCAACCUCAUCAAUCUCAUUCAACUAGUCUCCUCAGUGUCUGGAACUACCAAAAAAAAAAAAAAAAAGGCACUCAAUGCCUAUUCAUUGAAUGAAUGGGUUAACAGAUGGGUGGAAGACACCUUAGAAUCCAUCUAGUCCAACUUCUUCAUUUUUAGAGGGAGAUUUACCACAUGGUAAGUACAGGAUUUGAGGUGAGCUCCUCAUAUUCCUGUGAGGUGACAUCUCUGCUCCUGGGCAUGAGAUGAAGCAUUCUCUCUGGUCCCUUUCCAACUCCUUGGUUCUCUUUCUCCAGUCCUGCCUCCACAGAGCCACUGAAGGGGCUGAUCUUGUCACUCCAUGGCCUUGGAAUCUUCAGUGGCCUCCCAUCUCAUUCAGGAUAAUUAUAAAUAAAUAAACAUAUAUAUAUAUAUGCAUUUUUUUUCCUUGGGUGCCAGCAGGGUUCUUCAUGAUAUGCCCUUACCUACUUAGCCCUCAAUGUCACCACAGAUUUCCCAUUUUUCUCUCUAGCUCUAACCACUAUAUUUGGACUUGACCUGCUUUCCUGCUUGCCUCUGUUUUCCCACAAGCUGUUCCCGCCUCCUCGCUUAGUGUACUCCCAUGAUGAAUGCCUCCUCAUCCUUUGAAACCCAGUUGGAGUAUCGUCUCUACCAAGAAGCCUUUCCAGCCUCUCCCUCCCUCUCAUUUUUCUUGUCCCCCCAUUCAGUCCAAGUCUCACAUGUGACCCCAACAAACAUGCAAGCAAGGACUGGGUUUUUGCAUGAUUUCAUCCCAGUGCCUAGCCUUUCCUAGUUCUGGCAAAUAACAAGCACUCAAAAAUAUAUCCCAUAAAAAUUCCCCUCUUGGGCAUAAUCCUAACAUAUGCAAGGCACGUACAAGAAUGUUCAAAGCAGCAUUUCCUGGAUUAGUCCCAAACUGUAAAUAACCCAAGAGUCUCUUAAUCAUGCAAUGGGUAAGUAAAUCGUGGCAUUUUAAAUAAAUAAAUCCUAUUCAACAAUGAGAUUCAGUGAACAAACCUUGUGAAUGGAUUUCACAAAUGUCAUGUUGAGUGAAAGAAGCCAGAAGCAAGAGUAGAUGUAUAAUUCCAUUUACAAAAGCUCAAAAAGCAGGCAUGAGUUAUCUCUGGUGUUAGAAAUCAUGAGAAGAGUUACCAUCAAAUAUGCAGGGUAACUGAUAGAGUAGGUGUCUAGGACCCCAGCAGUGUUCUAUUUCUUGAUCUGGGUGCUGCCUGGGGAAUUAUUUCAUCCAGCUGUAUAUUUGUGAUUUGUGCAUGAAUCUGUCUCAUACUUUAAUAAAAAAAUUUAAUUUAGGAGAUUUUCCUUUAUGAAAUAUGUUUCUCUGUGGUGUUGAGGACAGUGACAGAAAUGGGGAGUGUAGGUUUGACUCAAAUGAAUUGCCAGCUUGAUUGAUGCUCUUUCUCCUGCUCAGAACAGUGUUUCAUGUCAGCAAGGAAAAUCUAAAAAAUUAAAAAUAAAAAACCAAAAACCUUUCCCAUACCAUGUUUAGCAUUUGCUUUAAGAAAUGUGAUACUCAGUGGUGUCGGCAGGUGUUAAUUCAGAUAGUUUGGAUUCUCAACUUGAAUUUUGGCAGGCUCAGAUAAUUUUGGAAUGAGUCAGGGUAUAAAUGACUAUAAUUGGAAUUUCACUCUUUGCUUACUAUCUUCAUCCUUUUGCUUUUAAGGCUUCUGUCACCAAUAGGCAUAAGCUUAUUGCCCUACACACAUCGCUCAAACCUUCCGUUUAUUGAUUCACAAUUCACUGUUGCAGUUUAAAAUCAGUUUCUUUCUUGGUAUAGGACUGUGCUUAAUUAAUGUCUUUGAGCUGACAGGAUUUUUUUUUUUUCCUCCUUCAAAAUUGUAAGGGCUCUAAGAAGUACCAGACUAUGGAACAUCUGUAAAAAUACAUUUUCUUCUCUUUAAACAGAUCUGUGUGAGGAAGGUGCCUGGGAACCCUGGUCUCUGAAAUCCUUGCAGCCAUUUUGGCUGCUGCCCUCUGCAGCCUCCAUGCUGGAGCCCAUCCAGCCAUCGCUGCGGGAACUCACCGCAUUUCUCUCUCAUGUUCUGUAAUCUGGGCCUUUCAGUGUCUGCACAGAUGGGAAUUCUGCUGCCAUCUUCUCAUUUCACAUUUCCUGCACUUUUCUUCCUAAGCACUCUACUGCCCAAAAUAGACUCACAGCUUUUGAUUCCAUGUGUAGGGAUUUACUAGACGAAUGAAUGGGGAUUCUGUAGCUCCCUAUAAUCAUCAUACCGUGAGGUAAUUUUUCCUGUUAGGCAUCGGGAAGAGAAAGGAUUCAGAAUGGUGCUAGGAGUGUCUCUCAGAGGACAGCAUGGAUUUUCUUUCAGGGGAAUAGUUGGGCCAGAGCCCAAUGCAAGGCAGGGCAUUAGUGCUAGCCUGUGGGGAAGGAGGACACAAGAGGACAGGGGACCAUGCAAGACUUGUCACCAAUUAGCUCCCUUCACAAGUCCUCUGCUCUCCUGAAGUCUCUUCCUGAUAGGAUAUACCCCUCCUCCUCUCUGCCUUUUUUUGUAUGUGUUGGGGGGAGGAGUCCCAAAAGUAUUAAUUUCCCUUGCUUCUCUCUACCUAGUUGAAUUGUCUCCAUUCAUUAAGGGCUUGUUUAAAUCCCACCUCCUGGGAGUUCCCAUUAUGGCUCAGCAGUAACAAACCCAACUAGUAACCAUGAGGAUGCGGGUUCCAUCCCUGUCCCCACUCAUUGAUUUACAGAUCCAGUGUUGCCUUGAACUGUGUUGUAGGUUGUAGUCAUGGCUCAGAUCCCAUGUUGCUGUUGCUGUUGCAUAGGCCAGCAGAUGCAGCUCUGAUUUGACCCCUAGCCUGGGAAAUUCCAUAUGCCACAGGAGUGCCCCUAAAAAGCAAAAUAAAUAAGUAAAUAAAUCAAUCCCACCUCCUCCAGGAAGCCUUCCCAGAUGACUUCAGCUAGACGUGAUUUCCUCCUUGUCUAAAUUUUUAGAGCUCCUAUGGCUAUACAUUCUUGGAUGUCCACAUAAGAGAUAAUUUUCAGCAAUAAUAAUAACUGAGUACUUCCAUGGCAGGCACUAUUCUUAGCACUUUACUCAUAUAAAGUCAGAAUCAAGAUAAUGACUCCAUAAGAUAGGCUGCAGUACUGUUCCCAUUGUACACAUGAGGAUUCUAAGGCCCAUAGUGAUGUCACAACUCCCUUAUCAGAUUAGAAACUCCAUUUACCACCUCUUUGACUUACUGACUUGUCUUUCUCACAUCACAACUUUCACGGACUCACAGUUGCCAAUUAUUCAUACUUGUCCAUUUAGUUUUGUGCUUAAAGAGCCCGAGACCAUGAAAAUAGGAUUUCAAUAUCAUUUCUGUCAGUCAUAUAUGCUGCCUUUCCAUUUCUGUUAACAUGGGGGCUGUGCAGUGGAGUAGGUGGGAUUAAAACCGUGAUAAAAUAAAAUUAAAGAACAAGACCUUAUUUCAUAUGUACUGUAUGCCAGGCACUCUGGUAAGUGAUAUAUAUGUUCACUACCUUAAUCUCAGCUUCCCCCUGCCCCAAAUAUCAGAGAGAGGUUACAGAAUGCUUGCAACAUGAUCAAAUAAAUAGAUGAAGGUGUUUUAGCAAAAAGAAUACAAAUGUAGGAAGUCACACAAAAUCCUGGGUUCAGCUAUUACCUACAAAUGCAUGCCCUGAGGACCCUCCUCGGGAAGUGAGCCACAGAUCUGGCUCUGGCUUCCUGGUGUUUAUGACAAAAAAGGGACAAUGACAACAUUCACAUUGCCUUUAAGAUAAAGACAAUCCAGCUAUUCAGAUGAAGCGCACAUAAAAGUCGCAUCAAAUAACUUCCUGCUAUAAUUCUCAGUGCAGGCCAGUCUUAUUUUGCUGAAGGGCAGAAUGGCAAAAUCCAUUUGAAAGAGAGAUAGAACUAGGGGGUCUACCUUUGCAGUUAUUUAGUUUAAGACAGGGAUAGACUGUACACAUAUCAGGAAAUUCUCUCUCCCUUGGGCUCCAUACUAGCUCCUCCAGACAAUUACAAAGCUCCUCCAGGUUUCCACCUUCAACUGAAAGCUGAAUAGAGGUUUUGGUUUAACACUUAUUAACACUUUAUAAAACUAGCAUGCCCAGGAACAGCUUUUGGAAAAUCCAGUCUGACAGGCAACAUGGAGCUGUUAAAAAUUGAGGUUUUCAGUGGGGGAAAUGGAAUUCAAACUCCUUUGUCUGAUUUAUGAUGCUUUUCACAAGCCAACCUCAACCAGCUGUUGCAGACCUAAUUUACUGUCAACCCCCCCCACCUUCAGCAUCUUCAUGUUUUGUCCAAACUAAACUAGAUAGAUUUCCAUGAGUAUACACUGUGCUCUCACUCAUUGAGGCCUCACAGAUGCUUCCUAGAACACCCUCUUCUCUCUCCCGUCUCCCUUGGCUUCUCUGCCUACUGGAUCUUGAAGGAUGUCAUCUUUGCUGUGACUACACUCCUUAUUCCACCUAAUAAUUAAUCUUACUCUUUACCAGGCUCUCACAGCACUUUACUUCUAUCACAUUUUAUUAUACCCUUUUGCUAGCUUCUUUGAUUUUUCUGUCAAACUAUUAACUUCUCCAGGGUUGGAAUGUGCCUUAUUUACUUUUGUAUCUCAGCAUUGGGGACAUAGUCUGACCUGGAUUUAUUUCACCAAAUAUUUAUUGAGUGUUUCCUGUACUGACAGAACAAAGCUGGGACAAUUCCCAUCUUGUGGGCAAUGCCAAGUAAAAAAAAAAAAAAAA